CCUAAGGUAGCGAAAUUCCUUGUCGGGUAAGUUCCGACCUGCACGAAUGGCGUAACGACUUCCCCACUGUCUCGACCAGGAGCUCGGCGAAAUUGCAGUACGAGUAAAGAUGCUCGUUAAGCGCAGAAGGACGAAAAGACCCCGGGACCUUUACUAUACCUUGGUAUUGGCAUUAGGCGCGGAUUGUGUAGCAUAGGCGGGAGGCCGAGAGGCGCGGUCGCCAGAUCGCGCGGAGCCGUAAGGUGAAAUACCGCUCUGUUCUCGUUUGACGUCUCACCUCGAACAGUCAUCCUGUUCAGGGACAGUGCCUGGCGGGUAGUUUAACUGGGGCGGUUGCCUCCCAAAGAGUAACGGAGGCGCUCAAAGGUCCGCUCGGCCCGGUUGGCAAUCGGGUGUCGAGUGUAAUCGCACAAGCGGGCUUGACUGCGAGAUCGACGGAUCGAGCAGGGACGAAAGUCGGAGAUAGUGAUCCGGUGCCGGCGCACGGGCGCGGCAUCGCUCAACGGAUAAAAGGUACCCCGGGGAUAACAGGCUGAUCAUUCCCAAGAGUCCAUAUCGACGGGAUGGUUUGGCACCUCGAUGUCGGCUCGUCGCAUCCUGGGGCUGGAGCAGGUCCCAAGGGUUCGGCUGUUCGCCGAUUAAAGCGGCACGCGAGCUGGGUUCAGAACGUCGUGAGACAGUUUGGUCUCUAUCCUCUGCGCUCGUUGGAAUCCUGAGGAGGCCUGCCCAUAGUACGAGAGGACCUGGGUGGACGAACCUCUGGUAUGCCGGUUGUCGCGCCAGCGGCACGGCCGGUUGGCUACGUUCGGAAGGGAUAACCGCUGAAAGCAUCUAAGCGGGAAGCCUGCUCCAAGAUAAGCAUUCCGUGGAACCUUCGAGUUCCUGUAGUCCCCAUGCAGAACACGUGGUCGAUAGGCCGGACGUGGAAGCCCCGCGAGGGGUGGAGCCGACCGGUACUAAUGGUCGAGAGGCAACCCAC
rnacentral:rRNA from 1 species